GGAGGAUGGCCCUCCGGGAUCGGCCUUCAGGGGCGGUCUCAAACCAGUCCGAGCUGCUGCGGUAAAGAGCCGUGGUGGUGAGCGUCGGAUGAAAAGUUUGGACGAGAUCCGAGCAGGU
rnacentral:ncRNA from 1 species